GAUGAACGCUGGCGGCGUGCUUAACACAUGCAAGUCGAACGGUGAAGGCGGAGCUUGCUCUGCUGGAUCAGUGGCGAACGGGUGAGUAACACGUGAGCAAUCUGCCCCUGACUCUGGGAUAAGCGCUGGAAACGGCGUCUAAUACUGGAUACGAGCUGCGAAGGCAUCUUCAGCAGCUGGAAAGAAUUUCGGUUAGGGAUGAGCUCGCGGCCUAUCAGCUUGUUGGUGAGGUAAUGGCUCACCAAGGCGUCGACGGGUAGCCGGCCUGAGAGGGUGACCGGCCACACUGGGACUGAGACACGGCCCAGACUCCUACGGGAGGCAGCAGUGGGGAAUAUUGCACAAUGGGCGAAAGCCUGAUGCAGCAACGCCGCGUGAGGGACGACGGCCUUCGGGUUGUAAACCUCUUUUAGCAGGGAAGAAGCGAAAGUGACGGUACCUGCAGAAAAAGCACCGGCUAACUACGUG
rnacentral:rRNA from 1 species